rnacentral:rRNA from 1 species
AACGAACGCUGGCGGCAUGCCUAACACACGCAAGUCGAACGAUGCCUUCGGGCAUAGUGGCGCACGGGUGCGUAACGCGUGGGAAUCUGCCUUUCGGUUCGGAAUAACUCAGGGAAACUUGAGCUAAUACCGGAUAACGUCGCACGACCAAAGAUUUAUCACCGAAAGAUGAGCCCGCGUAGGAUUAGCUAGUUGGUGAGGUAAAGGCUCACCAAGGCGACGAUCCUUAGCUGGUCUGAGAGGAUGAUCAGCCACACUGGGACUGAGACACGGCCCAGACUCCUACGGGAGGCAGCAGUGGGGAAUAUUGGACAAUGGGCGAAAGCCUGAUCCAGCAAUGCCGCGUGAGUGAUGAAGGCCUUAGGGUUGUAAAGCUCUUUUACCCGGGAAGAUAAUGACGGUACCGGGAGAAUAAGCCCCGGCUAACUCCGUG